rnacentral:rRNA from 1 species
GAUGAACGCUGGCGGCGUGCUUAACACAUGCAAGUCGAACGGGAACAUUUUAUUGAAGCUUCGGCAGAUUUAGCUUGUUUCUAGUGGCGGACGGGUGAGUAACGCGUGGGUAACCUGCCUCACACUGGGGGAUAACAGUCAGAAAUGACUGCUAAUACCGCAUAAGCGCACGGGACCGCAUGGUACGGUGUGAAAAACUCCGGUGGUGUGAGAUGGAUCCGCGUCUGGUUAGCCAGUUGGCGGGGUAACGGCCCACCAAAGCGACGAUCAGUAGCCGACCUGAGAGGGUGACCGGCCACAUUGGGACUGAGACACGGCCCAA